GCCAGGCCAUUUGUCGCAGGUGCAGGCGCGCCCGCGACAAAAGGCUCCCACGGAAGCCCUGUUUUCCACUAGUGCAAGUCCAGAAACCCACCACCGCCGCCGCCCACCGCCCACGGCCACCAGCACCGCACCGCACCGCACCAACCACCGCCCUUCUCCCCCGGAUCUACAUAGCCAACCCGUCCCCCGCCUACGUGUUUCCCCUCGAUUCGGCGCGCCCCUCACCUCGGCGGCGGAGAGGAAUUGGUAGAUAGACCAUGGUCCGAUGGGUCGCGGCCGUCGCGUCACCCCCGUCGCGCGCGUCACCAGCGCCCGCUCCCCCAUCGCGCGACCAGAGCCGCCGCCGCCCAAGCCCAGCAGGAGCCCGACGACAUGCAGCAGCACCCACCAAACAUCAAGGAGGAGGAGGAGGAGAUGGCUGACAUCGGCGGAGUCAGCGCCAACAACGCCGCCGCCGGCAACGACGACGAGGAGGGCAACACCGCCCCAUUCCCCUAGACGAAAGUUGAAGAUGCUAUCCAUAGAGGCAUAACAGUUCCUAAUCAAGGAAGCCAAAUACCAUGGAGAAACUUUACCGAGUUUGGAUGGAACAAAUGAGUGAUGAGAAGUUAGAGCACUUUAUUUUGUGGAUUUGUUUUAUGAAUUUUGCUGGAUGUAUUCACAUGUGUCCGGAUGUAUAAUUGCAGAGCUAAUAAACAAUAUAUAGACUGGAUGGAUGGGUUACGUCAA